rnacentral:tRNA from 1 species
UGAGGUGCAGUUCAGUGCUAAAGCACUUGCCUGAUAUUUACAAGAUCCUGGGUUCAAUUCCCAGCACCACAA